rnacentral:rRNA from 1 species
UACGUAGGGUGCAAGCGUUAAUCGGAAUUACUGGGCGUAAAGCGUGCGCAGGCGGUUUUGUAAGUUUGGUGUGAAAUCCCCGGGCUCAACCUGGGAAUGGCGAUGAAGACUGCAAGGCUAGAAUCUGGCAGAGGGGGGUAGAAUUCCACGUGUAGCAGUGAAAUGCGUAGAGAUGUGGAGGAACACCGAUGGCGAAGGCAGCCCCCUGGGCCUGCACUGACGCUCAUGCACGAAAGCGUGGGGAGCAAACAGG